rnacentral:piRNA from 3 species
CUCCCGUGCUGAUCAGUAGUGGGAUCGCG